AUGAAUAAAUCUAGUGGGUUGUAGCUGGCUCCUCGGAGCAUGUGCACGCUCAUUACCUUUAUCUAUCCACCUGUGCACAAUCUGUAGUCUUGAGGGAGAUGAGAGCAACCAGUUCAUUGGGAUUGGUUUGUGACUUUCUCUUGAGUCUAUGUGUUCUCAUACACUACUUAAUAUGUCAUUGAAUGUAUAUCAUGAGCCUUUGUGCCUAUAAAAACUUUAUA
rnacentral:misc_RNA from 1 species